ACACUCCUACGGGAGGCAGCAGUGGGGAAUAUUGGACAAUGGGCGCAAGCCUGAUCCAGCCAUGCCGCGUGAGUGAUGAAGGCCCUAGGGUUGUAAAGCUCUUUCACCGGUGAAGAUAAUGACGGUAACCGGAGAAGAAGCCCCGGCUAACUUCGUGCCAGCAGCCGCGGUAAUACGAAGGGGGCUAGCGUUGUUCGGAUUUACUGGGCGUAAAGCGCACGUAGGCGGACUAUUAAGUCAGGGGUGAAAUCCCGGGGCUCAACCCCGGAACUGCCUUUGAUACUGGUAGUCUUUAGAUCGAGAGAGGUGAGUGGAAUUCCGAGUGUAGAGGUGAAAUUCGUAGAUAUUCGGAGGAACACCAGUGGCGAAGGCGGCUCACUGGCUCGAUACUGACGCUGAGGUGCGAAAGCGUGGGGAGCAAACAGGAUUAGAUACCCUAGUAGUCCCAUG
rnacentral:rRNA from 1 species